rnacentral:lncRNA from 1 species
CUCGAUUACUUCACAGCGAAUUGCGGUGCCGGAGGCGAGAGCGUGAAACAGCAGCAGGGUCCACGUGGAAAUUUGCAGGAUAUUCGGCUCAACAGACCGAUUCUAGCAGACCAGACUAAUGUGCUGACAAGCGGUAGUUUUGUACCUAUCGAGGCCAAUGUCAUUCAGCGCCCCUCCGGAACAAAUCGACUGGCCAAGAAGAAGAAUUUGAAAAGAUCGGCGGGAAUAGGCGGGGCUAUACCCUGCUCACCGCAGGCCAUAGAACAGCUACAAAUUCCUUAUAAAAAGGCCCGCAAGGACGCCACCCACGGCGGUCUAGCUCCGGAGAAUUUUACCCAUGUUAUUCAGGCCGUUAUAAAUCCGCAAAUCGCGCCACAUGGAGCGGCAUGGACUGAUUCCAACCACCAAGUGAUUGCGGACGUGGAGGUGCGUGUGUCGGCGGCGCCUACAGAGACAGUCGCCGUGCAACCGGAUGGGACUAUACAACACGUCUAUGGAGAUCCCCAGUGUGCGCCACCAGCAGGGCUGACCGUCAAUGAUUGGCCUGGUCUUGACGACAUCCUGGACGCGUCCUGGAAUUCAUCGCUGCUGGAACAUAGCGACUUCACUCCAGCUCUGUGGGUCGACUCUCCAGCUACAUCCGUAGAGGCUACCACCAGUGCAGAGCCUGUACAACACCACCAGCCUGCAGGCCCUGCAUCUGGAUCCCUACACGCCAUUCAAGCCCCUAUCUGCGACUCUCCGUGUAUCGUGAGUCCCAUCGCUCAUGAGGUAGCGGUGCUGCGGCUACCAGCCGGUCCCGCAAUUGCUGAUGGUGAAUACUGGGCUGUGCCGCAAGAUGCUAAAUGGCGUAAAGAAUUUGCUGAUAAAUUAGCCGUGUUAACUGCAACGGUGGCUGUAAACUCCUCAGCCAUUGAUCGUCAGAUUAAACGUGGUGACAGUAGAUAUCAGGCUCUCGAAGAGCAGACGAAGCAGUCCUUCAGCGCUAUCAGGCUCGAAAAUGCGCGUGAUCGGAUGAUUGCUAAAUCCCCAAACACUGAAACCAGUAAUGGACGUGCAAUUGUGGACCUUCAACGUAAGCAUUUUGCGGCCGCGGUAGCUGUGCGAGGCAACACGCAGGGCAUAGCGAAAAUUAGCUCAGUAGAGGCGUUAAGAGCUUCUAAAACCGCUCGAAAAUUAUGGUUAAUGGAAUCUACUUGCAAAGCUAACCUGGAUGCCUAUAGGGCAUUGUGUACCGAGAUGUCUGUGAUGAGUGACACAGUAGCAAAGCUCUCGUUGAAUACUAUUAUUUGAUUUGUGUUUUUGUUUUUUCUUUUAUCUUGUGGAGAGGGUAUUUUUUUUUGUUUUAAACUGCAUGUAAUAAAACUUUUUUUUCAUUUAAUACCUGACUAAUUAACGUUUUUUUUUUUUUUAAAUAUAAUUUUUAUAUAUAUAUAUAUAUAUUUUAUUUUAUUUUCUAUCGGCAUUAAAAAAAAAAAAAACUAGCCGUACACCAUGCAUAACGCCAUUAGCCCUAGAAAAAGGAAAUUCAAAUCUAUAGACGGUAAUCCCAAGAGACGGCGUAGAUCUGAUAGUGGGGGUAGCAUUAUGGAUUUAGAACUUGAAGAGAUGACAAUGCGGUAUGACGCAACCGGCGAUACGUC